AUGGAUGACCUCCGGCCGGCCUGGAUCUCCGGCGUACUCGCGCCUGCAGAUGUUGUGGUUGGUUCGGAGGUGUCGGCAGGUGUCUCGGGGCUGCGGUGCUUCUCUUUCGGCCGUGUCUCCGAUGGGGACCUCGCCCUUCCUCACCCUGUACAUGUCGUGGUGGAGCGAUAUCUGCAAGACCUGAAUAUUGCGUCAGCCCGGACUGUCAGAGUUUCGGCUCCACCAGUUCAGCGCAAGAGGAAGAGUAGUUGGAUUGCUCUGGAAGGAAAUAAUGCGAAAAUCAAUGUUGAUGAAGGGUUAUCACGUAAUGGAAAAUCAGGUGCAACGGUGGCAAUUUGCAAAAAUAAAACAGGGCAGUUUCUGGGCGCUUCAGCUAUCACCUUCGACGGGUUGACAAACCCUGCGAGCCUAGAAGCGUUAGCAUGCAAUAAGGGAUUGGCACUUGCCCAAGAUCUGAACCUGGGAGAUGUUGUGAUCGGGACAGAUUGUGUGGAGGUUGUCACUAGUAUCAGCAAGGGUACGACUUCAGUUUAUGCACCAAUUCUGAAUGAGAUCCAUCAUCGCAGACUGGAGUUUGAGCAUGUAGGGAUCGGCCACAGAAUUGUCGUGUCCACAAAGGUUUCGUUCCAUAAAAACAUUUUGUACGUCGUCUGUAUCCCCGCGCACGCCUUAGGCCUUCUUUGGGCUGUCAACCAUGUUUUCAAAUAUCUGGCAUGGCCCUUCUCUUUUGGGCUGCCAGAGGCGAGGGUGUUGGAUCAGUCGCAGUUGUUUGCAGAGACGGGGGGUUUGUUCUUCGAUGCAUCAGUCAUUGUCUUCGGGGGCAUCAAUGAGGCCACUACACUGAAAGUGCUGGCAAUUCGUGAAGCUAUGGCUCUAGCUGAAGACUUGAAUUUACAAUCCGUCCAUGUGGCGUCAGAUUGCGAGCUGGUGACUGAGGACAUCAAGCAGAAAAGUGGGACCGCUUAA
rnacentral:rRNA from 1 species